UGUGGGGUGCUCGAGUGGCGAACGGGUGAGUAACACGUGAGUAACCUGCCCUUGACUUUGGGAUAACUUCAGGAAACUGGGGCUAAUACCGGAUAGGAGCUCCUGCUGCAUGGUGGGGGUUGGAAAGUUUCGGCGGUUGGGGAUGGACUCGCGGCUUAUCAGCUUGUUGGUGGGGUAGUGGCUUACCAAGGCUUUGACGGGUAGCCGGCCUGAGAGGGUGACCGGCCACAUUGGGACUGAGAUACGGCCCAGACUCCUACGGGAGGCAGCAGUGGGGAAUAUUGCACAAUGGGCGGAAGCCUGAUGCAGCAACGCCGCGUGCGGGAUGACGGCCUUCGGGUUGUAAACCGCUUUCGCCUGUGACGAAGCGUGAGUGACGGUAAUGGGUAAAGAAGCACCGGCUAACUACGUGCCAGCAGCCGCGGUGAUACGUAGGGUGCGAGCGUUGUCCGGAUUUAUUGGGCGUAAAGGGCUCGUAGGUGGUUGAUCGCGUCGGAAGUGUAAUCUUGGGGCUUAACCCUGAGCGUGCUUUCGAUACGGGUUGACUUGAGGAAGGUAGGGGAGAAUGGAAUUCCUGGUGGAGCGGUGGAAUGCGCAGAUAUCAGGAGGAACACCAGUGGCGAAGGCGGUUCUCUGGGCCUUUCCUGACGCUGAGGAGCGAAAGCGUGGGGAGCGAACAGGCUUAGAUACCCUGGUAGUCCACGCUGUAAACGGUGGGUACUAGGUGUGGGGUCCACUCCACGGGUUCCG
rnacentral:rRNA from 1 species